CGGCAGGGGAGGGGAGGAGGCCUGGCCCCGCGGUCGCAGCCGCCACCGCCCGCCCCGACCUCCCGGACCGCCGCGGGGCCACGGGCCGGAGCCCCGGAUUCGCACUCCGUAUUAGCCACGGCUGGGCCGCGCGUAUAUUUGCCUUCCCUCCAUGAUCUCCAACACUAUCCGAUAAAGUAGAAGCAACUGAGGUACCGUGAAAGAGAAAGGAGCUGGAACUGAGAAAAAGCAGAGAAACUGAAAGGCCAACGUGGGAGACAAAGAAGAGCCUGAAAGAGCCAAAUCUUACCUUCUGGACCAUGACGGGGUUUCGCUGUGUUGGCCGGGCUGGUCUCCAGCUCCUGACCGCGAGUGAUCCGCCAGCCUCGGCCUCCCGAGGUGCUGGGAUUGCAGACGGAGUCUCGUUC
rnacentral:lncRNA from 10 species